UAAAUAUUUGUCAUAAAUAUUCAUAGAAUAGUUGAUGCCAACUCAUUUCUUAGAUUGGUUUGGAGAAAUUAACAUAAAAUAGAUCUCAUUAACAUUAACAUAGACACUCAUCUCUUCUUUACAUUGAAAAAUAUAUUGUUUGUAAUUAUUAAUUAACGAGGGUAAAAUAGCUCAUCAAUAAAGAAAUAUGCGUGAUUGAUGUCAAC
rnacentral:lncRNA from 1 species